AUUUUUUUACAUUAAAAGUAAGAACUAACGGGAUCGUAACGUAUCGUAAAAUUCUUACCUCAUAAGAUUGUUUCUCAACUAGUUAAAAAUCAAAAAAACCUGGACGAUUUGA